rnacentral:snoRNA from 1 species
CAGAGCGAUGAAGAGUUCUAACAUGCCAUCUGAGCUGCCCCUGCUGAGACCAAGAGGCUGUUUCUGAGCUCUG